rnacentral:rRNA from 1 species
UACGUAGGGUGCGAGCGUUAAUCGGAAUUACUGGGCGUAAAGCGUGCGCAGGCGGUCUCUUAAGACAGGUGUGAAAUCCCCGGGCUUAACCUGGGAACUGCGCUUGUAACUGAGAGGCUAGAGUGUGACAGAGGGGGGUGGAAUUCCACGUGUAGCAGUGAAAUGCGUAGAGAUGUGGAGGAACACCGAUGGCGAAGGCAGCCCCCUGGGCUAACACUGACGCUCAUGCACGAAAGCGUGGGGAGCAAACAGG